CCUACGGGUGGCAGCAGUGGGGAAUAUUGGACAAUCGGCGAAAGCCUGAUCCAGCCAUGCCGCGUGUGUGAAGAAGGCCUUCGGGUUGUAAAGCACUUUCAGUGGGGAAGAAAGCCUUGGGGCUAAUACCCUCGAGGAAGGACAUCACCCACAGAAGAAGCACCGGCUAACUCCGUGCCAGCAGCCGCGGUAAUACGGAGGGUGCGAGCGUUAAUCGGAAUUACUGGGCGUAAAGCGCGCGUAGGCGGUCUGAUAAGCCGGUUGUGAAAGCCCCGGGCUCAACCUGGGAACGGCAUCCGGAACUGUCAGGCUAGAGUGCAGGAGAGGAAGGUAGAAUUCCCGGUGUAGCGGUGAAAUGCGUAGAGAUCGGGAGGAAUACCAGUGGCGAAGGCGGCCUUCUGGACUGACACUGACGCUGAGGUGCGAAAGCGUGGGUAGCAAACAGGAUUAGAUACCCCGGUAGUC
rnacentral:rRNA from 1 species